UACGAGACAGAAGCACGGCAGAAAUAAGAAAGCGCUGGCAGGACUUCAUCAUUCGGGUUGCAACCCGAAUGAUAAAGUCCUGUCAGUCCUUUCUUAUUUCGACUGAGAACUGUUGUA